CAGGGGGGGCUAGCGUUGUUCGGAAUUACUGGGCGUAAAGGGUUCGUAGGUGGCCGGCUAAGUCAUACGUGAAAUCCCUCAGCUUAACUGGGGAACUGCGUCUGAUACUGGUCGGCUUGAGUGCGGGAGAGGAACGCGGAAUUCCAGGUGUAGCGGUGAAAUGCGUAGAUAUCUGGAGGAACACCGGUGGCGAAGGCGGCGUUCUGGACUGCAACUGACACUGAGGAACGAAAGCCAGGGGAGCAAACGGGAUUAGAUACCCCGGUAGUCCUGGCCCUAAACGAUGAAUGCUUGGUGUGGCGGGUAUCGAUCCCUGCCGUGCCGAAGUUAACGCGUUAAGCAUUCCGCCUGGGGAGUACGGUCGCAAGGCUG
rnacentral:rRNA from 1 species